rnacentral:rRNA from 1 species
CCUACGGGAGGCAGCAGUGGGGAAUAUUGGACAAUGGGGGGAACCCUGAUCCAGCCAUGCCGCGUGUGUGAAGAAGGCCCUCGGGUUGUAAAGCACUUUCAGUGAGGAAGAACGCCUGGUGGUUAAUACCCAUCAGGAAAGACAUCACUCACAGAAGAAGCACCGGCUAACUCCGUGCCAGCAGCCGCGGUAAUACGGAGGGUGCGAGCGUUAAUCGGAAUUACUGGGCGUAAAGCGCGCGUAGGUGGCUUGAUAAGCCGGUUGUGAAAGCCCCGGGCUCAACCUGGGAACGGCAUCCGGAACUGUCAAGCUAGAGUGCAGGAGAGGAAGGUAGAAUUCCCGGUGUAGCGGUGAAAUGCGUAGAGAUCGGGAGGAAUACCAGUGGCGAAGGCGGCCUUCUGGACUGACACUGACACUGAGGUGCGAAAGCGUGGGUAGCAAACAGGAUUAGAGACCCCAGUAGUC